rnacentral:tRNA from 1 species
GGGCCGUUAGCUCAGUGGCAGAGCGCUGCCUUCACACGGCAGAAGUCACUGGUUCAAAUCCAGUACGGCCCACCA